UACGGGGGGAGCAAGCGUUGUUCGGAUUUACUGGGCGUAAAGGGCGCGUAGGCGGUCCAUUAAGUCAGGCGUGAAAGCCCUGGGCUCAACCUGGGAGUGGCGCUUGAUACUGGCGGACUAGAGAGUGGGAGAGGUUGGUGGAAUUCCCAGUGUAGAGGUGAAAUUCGUAGAUAUUGGGAAGAACACCGGUGGCGAAGGCGGCCAACUGGACCAUUUCUGACGCUGAGGCGCGAAAGCGUGGGGAGCAAACAGG
rnacentral:rRNA from 1 species